AAUAUUAUUAAACUUAUUUUUUCUCUCUCAUCCUAUUUUCUUCCUGCAAAUUCAUGCUGAAUUUGGGUUAUUCCCAAACUAAACCAAUCUCAUCUCACUGUGGUAGCCGGAGUUGAUGAGAGCGGUCCCCAGUGAAGUUAUUAGGGACGGUGGGAAGGUGUAAUUGGCGGACCCUUGACUGGUCUCGCCGGCUUGUGGCUGGCCUUGCCAAAGAAGCAGAAAAGUAGCGCUGAAAGAGAAAGAGAGAGACUGUGAGACUGUGAUUUGCUCUUUACUGCGCUCACCGGAAUAGAAAGAGAGGGACCGGAGAUGGAGUGAUCGGUGGAGGAAUGACGAUAAGAAGCUUUGGUCGGGGCGACUUGAGCUCAGGUCACUAGACAUGCCAAAAGAAAGGAGAAAGAGGGUUGUCUCGAUCGACAAGUCCCUUUGUCUCUCUCAUGAGCUCUCCUUGAACAAGAAUGAAGGUAGAAAGCGGUGGCUAGAGGUGCUGCCGGUGGUGUGAGGUGAUCAGAUCGGCAGAGCUUUGAGCUCCGGUGAACGAAAAACGAAGGGGAUAGGAGAGGGGACUAUGGUGCGAUCAGGAAGGGGAGAAGUGAUUUUGGGUUAGUUGCUGAUUUGGUUCGAUUUAGGUUUGAUUUGGAUUGAUUCAUGAAUUUUUUGUUGCAUAUCCAACGUGGCAAAAUUAAUUAUGACCUAGAAUUGUAAUUUUCCAUGUCAUCAGGAUGGGUUGUACACAAUCACUUUACCAGGUGUACAGUUGUUAUAAAAAGUAAACUUUAGGGUGCCAAAGUUCACUUUUAGGGUGCCAAAGAUCAAUUUGAAAGUAAAGGAGCCGACGGGGAAAUGAUGUAUUCAGCCACCUAAACAUAUGGUUGUGCUAAAGUCUUUUGCAGGAAUUUAAAUGGAGAAAUUCAUCGAGUGAAGAUUCAAUAAAUCUUAUGAAAGUCAAGACUUUAAUCUAAAUGAUAUGUUGUUAUCUUGAUUAUACAGUCAUUCUACGUUCUGAGUUGUUGAAUCUUUAUAAUUAAUAUUGCUUCAUACUAAAACUGUUUUUGAGUUACAGAGUUGCCCAAUUUAGUGAGUUAUUUUUAGACCUAUUGAUUGAUAGUAUUA